UACGUAGGGUGCAAGCGUUGCCCGGAUUUAUUGGGCGUAAAGGGCGCGCAGGCGGCUACGCACGUCCGUUGUGAAAUCGCUCGGCUCAACUGGGCGGGGUCGGCGGAUACGGCGUAGCUGGAGCAAGCUAGGGGGCAAUGGAAUUCCCGGUGUAGUGGUGGAAUGCGUAGAUAUCGGGAGGAACACCAGUGGCGAAGGCGGCUCACUGGUCCGGUACUGACGCUGAGGUGCGAAAGCGUGGGGAGCAAACAGG
rnacentral:rRNA from 1 species